rnacentral:lncRNA from 1 species
AGUCAUUUAGCGCGGAGAAUAAGUGGUUUUCCUCUUGAGUGGAUCUCAAAAGGCGGAUAAAGAUCGUGAAGUGGCCAGCCUUCUCGAGGAUUUUGGUCACGUUGGUGAUGCCAUGCGGUGCAGCUGCCUGUGUUAGGGUUGCAGCUGGAGGUGAUGCAACCACUGCUGGUGCCUGAGCCGGGGCUGCAGCUUGCGACUGGGCAAAGGUAUUGGGACAAUGGAGGAAAAGAAGAAAAAUUGAAAAUGAAGAGAGUAAGUACUGUGGCUUCAUCUUUAUGUUGUUAAGAUAUAAUGCUAGAAACAAUGCAAAAAUGCUAAUGUAAACUGAGCUUGAUUUUUGUUAGAAGUGCUCGAUGUGUAUAGAGGGGACAGUUUGAGGUUAUAUAGUUAGGUGCAAUAUACGAUUUUAGUUACACAACUAGGUUGCAAGUACCUUAUCUUACUCCAAAAGGUGGAGGGUCAUCAAUGGAGAUGGAAAGUUGACAAUGCUGCAGCAGCUACUUUGCAUGGAAAGUAGAAGGAAAACGAAACAAGAAUCUCAGAAGUAGAUUUCAAGUGGCAGAACAUUUGAGCAUAUAUACUUCUGAACAUUAUAACAAAAUCAUGUCUCAACUGCCUUCAUCAAGUAUAUAUACAAGCUUUUAUUCUUCUACUGACUCUAACCACUUCCUUGACUAACUCAACUGCUUUUCUAACUAAUUAACUACUAACAGUAAAGACCAAUCGUUAUUCUUUCAGUGCUGUUAUUGUUUUUUGUUGCUCUCCCUCCAGCUUUCAACAUGUCUCCUAGUUCGUAACAUUGAGUAAUAUAAAACUUUUUUUUAGUUUUAUUUAAAAUAUUUUUUAUACUCUUAAUAUAUUUUUUAUAUUUAAAAAAAAAUAUUAAACCGCUGGCCAAUAUAAUAGUUGGUUAGCUAAUCAAGAGGCAUCUCGCGGCAAGAAGAUGUCAAUAGCAUUGGAUUUUGUUUUCAAGCCACUAAAACCCUUCAUGAUGGAUCCGUUUUCUUGCAAUUAGAAUUAUGGACUAGUGUUUAUGGGCUUUUAAGGCCUAAUAGGCUGGCUGGGUUAGUGCUUAUGGGUCUCAAUGCAUUCUGGGCCGGGCUUAAAUCAUCCUUUGGUAAAUGUUAAUAAAUUGGGCUAUGAUUCUUUAUAACGUGGGCUAAUUUGUUUUGGGUUGUACUCUUGGGUUAAAUGGGUUUUGGUUAAGUGUAAACAUGUAAAACAAAUGAUGAAAAAAACAAUAUAAUAAAAAAAUAAAAUCAUUCUAAAAAAACAAUUGUCCUUCUGUGCAUUUGUUUACAUCAAAAAAAAAAAAGAGAAGAAAAAAAUAUAUAUAUUUUAGCAUUCUAAGAAAAAAAUACAUGUUUUAGCGCAAAAAAGAGGAGUUUUUAUUUUUUAUUGGCAUCUAAAUAAAAUGUUCUUGUGUUAUUUUUUUUUAUUUUAUUAAAAAAAUAUAAUAUGUAUGUUUUGAUUUAAUAACAAGUUUAUUAAGUAUAUUAAGACUUGAUCAAAAUCAAAAGACCCAUUUGACCUACUUAUCCAAUAAAUUUGGGCUAUGAUUCUUGAUAACUUGGGCUAAUUUGUUUGGGGUUGUGCUCUUAGGUUUAAUGGGUUUUGGUUACGCAUAAACAUGAUAAAAAAAUUUUGAUGAAAAACACAAUAAAAAAGUAAUAUAAAAAAUAACAUAUGUGAGUAUAUAUUGUGCAUUGUGGCCAAGUCUUUUAAAAUAAAAUCAAUUUUUCAUAUUUCAUCAUUGUAAAAAAGAAAUUGUCCUUCUGUGCAUUUGUUUGCAUAAAAAAAGAGAAAAAAAAAUAUUUUAGCAUUUUAAAAAAAUAUAUGUUAUAGCAUAAAAAAGAGUUUUUAUUUUGCAGUGGCAUCUGAGUAAAAUAUUCUUGUGUUAUUUUUUUAUUCAUUUUAUUAAAAUAAUAUUAUAUGCAUGUUUGGAUUUAAUAACAAGUUUAUUAAGUCUAUUAAGACUUGAUCAAAAUCAAAAGAUCCAUUGUACCUACUUAUCCAAUAAACUAAAUAAAAAACAACUCUGGUUUUCUAAAAAAAAAAUAUGUUAUUUACCUUUAAUGUAAAAGGAAACCUAGAAAUAAAGUUUGAGAACUCUAGGGUUAACUUGGAAGCUAAAAAUUCUAACUUUAAUUUAGAUUUUCUAUAAGUCUCUUUGUUUAGGAUAGAGAGGUUUUUCUUCUUCUUCUUUUUUUUUUUAAAGACAAACCUCCUUUAAAGGAUUGAUAAGAGAUUUUUAUAAAUGGUCAAAUUGUGUCUCUUAUUUUUUAGGACCAAUAUCAAAUUUUCCUCAAAUAAUUAGAAAUAAAUUGAAAUUAAACUAAAAACAAUAGGGCAAUCAAAAAGAUAAAAUAAAAUAUAUAGUAAAGAUAACUUUUUAUAUAUAAAAAAAUAUGUUAUCAAUGUGACAUCAUUCUUUCCUUAAGUAAAAAAACCAUGGUUGAUCAUAAAAUCGAUGUAGAUUAGUAAAAAGAAUUAGUUUAUGGCACAUUAUUUUGUUGUUUUUCUGUUUUUUAAUUUGUUGUUUUACUUGAAAAAAUAUUAAAAUAAGUUUUUUUUAUAUUAAUAUAUCAAAACAAUUUAAAAAUAUCAAAAAAAUAUUAAUUUAAUGUAGAAAAAGAAAAAGAAAACUUAUUUUUUAAAAAAUAUUUUUGAAACGGAAAAAAUAUAUAGUUUUUGGUAUCUUUGUAACCCUUUGUUCAUAAAUAAUAAUAAUAAAAAAAGAAGGGGUUCCAGCCAAGCUAAAUUUGCAUCCCUUCUGUCUAGUCUUUGUUUUAAAGACUAGACACGCGAGUAGGAAAACACGCGAGUAGGAAACUCGGUUUAUGUGACUUGAAAACAUUAAUAGCAUAAUAUAAAUUGAAAAUUUUGAAUUGAGAUAGUUCACAAAUAUGAUUUCACAAUAUAGUAGUGAUAUUGUACAAGUCUCAAUAAUUUCAAAAAAGUUUAAUUUGAAAUAAUAUAUUAGUUAGUAAUAUAAAAUUAUCUAUUCAGCUUCACCAAUUAUUGCUCCUUUAAUUUCACUAUAUCAUGAGUUAAUCUAAAAACUUUAAAGGCUUCAUUAAAAUCAUGUUUUUUGCACAGGACGUGGCUAGUACUGCUGAUAUGUCUAUUCAACAUUAUUAAGAUUGAAAUAUUGGCCUCUAAAUGGAGUUGCAAAAUCAGUUCUAAAUUCUUAUUUAUUUAUUUAUUUGCAAAAUUGGUCUAAAUCCUAUUUGUUGUUUGCGCACUAAACUUGUUCUCGUGUAUGGUACGUUUGAAUUGUCUAUGGCAGCAAGCUCCUCCAAUAUUAUUAUUCAUCCAAAUUAAUAUUUGAGGUCUUCCUUUAUGCGUGUGUGGUAGGAGUGAAUUGUCGAGUGCAUUUAAUUCCUUUUAUGUCUUCUUGCACUGAAUUGUCAAGUGCAGCUUAUCUUAAUUUGUCCUCCAUCACGCGCUCUAACAUCGAAGCUGGGCUCCAGCCUUUUUUGCUGUGAAAAAUCAGUAACAUAUAUAUUUUACUUAUUUUACAUUACAUUUGAUUUCAGUGCCAAGUACUGUUUGUCUUAAGAUGGGAAAUUGUGAUAUCCUAAAUUAAAAACAAGCGUUUACAACUAAGGCUACAUGAGUAGUGUCGGUCGCUGACCUGUUGUAUAUUUUUUGAGGCGUUAGGUUUUGAAAUGGGCUCGCGUAAUUAGGAAUAAAAUCGUGAGGAUAAUAAGGCGCAAAGCGGACAAUAUAUUGCAGGUUGGGUCGGACUAUUACAAUUAUCAACCUUUAAUUAGCUACUAUAAAUCAAGAAUUAAAUCUAGAAAAAUCAAGGGUUUUUUUAAAUUAAUUUUUCAUUCAUCCAUAAUUUGUUUAAUUAAAAUUAAUUUUUCAUCAGAUUCUUUGAUAUUAUAUCAGAAACAUGAUGACUAAAUAAUUAUGAGUUUGAAUCUCAUUUAUUUUUAAUUAAUAAAAAUAAAUAUAAAAUAGUAUGAGUUUGUGUAAAUUUUAUCUAAAUAUUUUUAUUUAAAGAAAUAUAUUAAAAAAUAAUAUAAAUGAAAUUUUGAAAAGAGAUAAAAAAAAUUCCAAAUCAUGAAUAAUUUAUUCUCCCUUUCCAAAUCAUAUGAUACGACAAUAUUGUGGGCUCUCCCUGCUAGUGUGCUGGCCAUGUAGAUACUGACAAUGUUGACUCUCUGUUGUACACUGAUUAUGUAUUCCGUGGAAUUCUUGAACAAGAGUGUUAAAUACGAUGAGAAAUCAUACUAUUACAGCUUUUCUACGAGGUUGACGAGAAAGUUACCAAAUUUUCCACUGAAUAGAUAAUGGAGGGCCCACGUUGUCAAAUUCAAGCAAUUGAGAAGACUAUCGAUCACCCUUAACGACAAGGGAAUAGAUAAUGGAGGAUCAAAGUUGGAUAAUAAUAUAAAAUUAUCUAUUGAGUUUCUCCUGACCACUUAAAAUUUUAAUUAUAUACCAAAUUUUAGCUGCAACUAUUUAAAGAUUAAAAAUCAUUAUUUUCAUUUUAUGCUUAUUCACCUCUAAAUAGGAAGAAAAUUCUGUUUUAUACUUUUAUUUUAUUUUUAUUUUUAUUUUUAUUUUUAUCACUUUUUGAAUACAAAAAGAUAUUUGAACUCAAGACUUUCUUUUGUAAAAAAAGAAAUUGAGAACCUAAUGGCAGUUUAACUUAAUACCAGAAAAUUGAUAAAUACAAACGAAAACACCGACAAAAUUUUUCCAUUGAUAUAUUCUGAUGUCUUUACCAAUAAAAUUUUACAUCUUUAUAACAAUCGGUAAACACUGACAAAAAUAUUUCUUCGGUAUAUACUGACAAAAUUGCAAUGGGAAAAUAAGAAAUGAACAAAAAAAAAAACAAUAAAAUGAUAUGUAACUUUUAUAAACGACAUUACCGAUAAAUUAACUCGACGGUAAAGCAUGUCCAUAAAUAUGCUGAAGAAAAAACUUCCUCGAUAUAUGCCAAGAGAAUUAUAUAUGGAGGGUAUUACAGUGAGAUUCAAAAAAGACAAAUCAUAUGGUGACAUGAUAUCUGUACCAAUAAAAUUAUUCUAUCGGUCAUUUCAUCGAUAAUAUUUAAUUUAUGACUUGACAAUCGACCCUCAUAUCCCCCUUCCAUGUAUCCUUCUUUGUUAUCCAUUUUUUUCCGGCAUCAAACAGCCACCCCCUCCCCCCAAUAUCAACACAAUUCAACCUUCCACAAUAAAUUCGACCACCACAACACUCAGUUUGUCAAUAUUCGUAUUCUAAUUCAAAUUUUUUAGGAUUCUCCACUUUAAUUAAAUAAAUCUAUCCUUUUUUAUUCUAACUCAAUUUUAAAAUGUUAAUUGUUUUUGAAUAUUUUUUUAGUAUAUGUAUUUUUUUUGUGUUUACUUGUUUUAUAGUUUUUUUUCUCAUACAAAUUUGUUGUAUGGAUUUAUGAUUUGUACAUGUUAGGAUUUGUUUUUCUCAUACAAACUUAUGUUGAAUUGUUUUCUUAGGUGUUUUGUGAUGAAAUAAAUAAUAACUUAUUUAACGGGUUUGUUUUAUAUUUUGUCAAUUUUAUUGCCGAGUUGAAAUUUUCGUUAAAUGUGUAGAAAUUUGAAGUUAUAUCGAUAACUUAUAAUGAAUUAAGAGUACUAUUAAAAUAGAUUGAAUAAGUUUUAACUAAACUAAUAUUUUUAUAAAUUUAUUUAGUUAACGUAAUUAAUUAAUACAUUUUAUCAUUAUUAAUUUAUAUAGGUUUGAUAUAAGUAACGAAUGAUCAUUCAUGGAUGUAUCGAGAUUCACCCCAAGGGUUGCAGAGGAUGAAUUAUUGUAAUAGGGUUUAAGGUUUUAUUAAUUAUGCAUUAUCUAAUCCGAGAAAUAUUAGUGGAGACGGUAUUAGAUGUCCAUGCAAGUGGUGUAAAAAUAAAAGUUUCUCGAUCCAAAUAUUGUAAUGAUGCAUCUUCUACAAAAAUGGCUUAUGAAGAAAUACUUGUGUUAGUAUGCACAUAAAGAACCAUAUGUUCAGCAUGAUACCAUGGUAUAAAUGAUGGUCGCGUCAACUUCUAGCUAUAGCAAUAUGCAUGGAUUUGUAGAUGACAAUAGUAAUAAUAAUAGAAAUAUGGUUAUAAAUGUGAUGAGAAUGAAUCAUGGUCAUGUUAGUCAAUAUCCAAUUCUAGAUGAAGAACCAUUAUAGAGUUAUGGUUAAGGAUGUGAUGAGAAUGUUAUACUACCUUGAAAAUAUAGAGUUGACCGACUGCAGAACAUGUGGGCAUUCUUUUUAUAAACCCAGAACUGAUAGGGGAAGGACUCUUGUCCCACAUAAAAAAAUUAGAUACUUUCCAAUCACAACUAGACUACAGAGGUUAUUCAUGUCACUAAAAACUAUUGAACAUAUGACAUAACAACAUUCACAUGAUACGAUGUAUAAAGUGAUUGUGCACUCUUCCAAUGGUAAAGCCUGAAAACACUUUAACAAUGUGCAUCCUCAGUUGUCAAUGGAAUCAAGGAACAUGCGUCUUAGGUUAUGUAUAUUAGAUUUAAUCCAUUCGGGUCAUUUGCUGCUACUUAUUCUUGUUGGCCGGUUAUCCUCAGUUCAUGUUUUUAUCUAUGGUCAUACCUGGUCCUAAUAGUCUAGGUUGGAAUAUAGAUGUUUAAUUUUUACCGUUGAUUGAUGAGUUGACACAGUUGUGGUCAUCCAGGGCUUGGACUUAUGAUGAAUCGAUGAAAUAGAAUUUUAUGAUGAAUGUAGCUUUUAAGUAGACUAUCAAUAAUUUUCCAGCUUAUGGAAUGGUUUAUGAUUGGAGCACGCAUGGAAAACUAGCAUGUCAAUAUUGUAUGAAAAAUAAUAAGGCAUUCACGCUGACAAACGACGGUAAAAUAUCUUUUUUUUACUGCCACUGACAGUUCUUACCAAUAAAUCAUAAGUACAGAAAGAACAAAAAUGUCUUCUUUUUUAUCAGAGUUAAAAGGGAGGUUGCACCAUUUCUUCUUUCUAGUGAAGAAUUAUAUGACGUGGUGUCAAAGUAUAGUGAUAUUGUGUUUGGUUUUCAAUCUAAUAAGCAGAAAUUUUCUGGAUUUGGUUUGACCCAUAAUUGGGUAAAGCGAAGUAUUUUCUAUGAGCUUUCUUAUUGGAAGAUCAAUCUCUUUCAUCAUAAACUUGAUGUCAUGCACAUAGAAAAUAACAUGUUUGAGAACAUUUUCAACAUGGUUAUGGACAUAAAAGGAAAGAUAAAAGAUAACAUCAAGGCUAGAAUGGAUAUAACUUUGUUUGGUGAAAGAAUGAAGUUAGUUUAUGUUGGGUCACGGGUGGCAAAGCAUAAAACCAUCUUCGCCUUAGAUAAGAAUGCAUAGUUACUUGUCUACCAAUGGCUUAAAAGUCUAUGUUUUCCUGAUGGAUAUACCUUGAACAUAUCAAGGUUGGUGAAUUUGAAGGAUUACAAAUUGUAUAGAAUGAACAGUCAUGACUGCCAUGUGUUUAUGCAAACACUCAUUCCAUUAGCUUACCGAGAUUUAUUGCCAAAUAGAAUAUGGGAUGCACUCAUAGAGAUCAGUUAUUUUUUUAGAGAUAUAUGCUCCAACAAGUUGCAAACACAACAUAUGGAGAGGCUUGAAACAAAUAUUGUUCAGACAAUAUACAAACUUAAGAUGAUAUUUCCUUUAUUGUUUUUCGACUCGAUAGAGCAUCUGAAGCAAAAGUUGGAGGCUCAGUCCAAUAUAGAUGGAUGUUUUCAUUCGAGAGGUUAGGGAUUACACAUGCAUCGUAAUUAAAAUUUUAUUCUUUUUUCUUGCAUAAUUAAAAAAUUCAUUUAAUUCAAUACAGGUACUUGUUCCACCUAAAAAGAAGAGUUGAAAACAAGGCACAUGUUGAGGCUUCGAUAUGCAAGGCCUAUAUUGUUGAAGAGAUCUCAAUAUUUUUCUUGUACUAUUCCGAGCCUCAAUUGAGAACAAAAAUCAACCGCGUUUCAAGGCAUAAUGAUGGUGAGGAAAUGACUUCGAGUGGGAACUUGUCAAUAUUCUCUCAUCUUGGACGACCCGUACCAAAAAAUAUUGUGAAGGAAGAUAUUUGUCAGAAACAAAUUCAGAAAAACACAUAAUUAUGUGAUAUUUAACUACGAUGAAUUGAAACUUUUUAUUCAGUAAGUAUACUACUUAACAUGUCAUUAUUUUUGAAUAAUUUAUCUCUUAUAAUAUCAUAAACUGAUACAUUGUUUAAUUUUUUAUGGGCAACAUCGUUAAUUUUUACUAUUCCAAAACUCACAAUUGACUGAAUCCUAAAUCUUUCAAUUACUCAUUAACUAUUCAUGGUUGUACUUCAUGUACCAGGUUUAUCAAUUGGAAGAUAAUGCUAGUAAUAUUUCAUCUUUACUAAGUUCGGGUCCUAAAAGAAAGGUGAAGUGUUACAACUGGUAUUUCAUCAUUAGACAAGUGUUUUAUACUGAGGAAUAUGUGCAGAUUAGAAAGACAUAUAAUAAUGAGGUUUGUAUUAAGGGAUCGACUUUUAAUAAGUUUGAAAUUGACUACUACGGGAAGUUAGAAAAGAUCAUUGAAUUGCAAUAUUAUAGCAAGCAAAAUAAAAUAUUUUUAUUCAAGUGUUAUUAGUAUGAUACCACUAACAGAGAAGUCAUAGUAGAUCCUCAUCAUGGUUUGGUUGAAAUUAAUUGAAAUGCUAGACUCCGCAAUGUCAACGAUGUCUUUGUUUUCGCCAAGCAAUGUUAACAAGUUUAUUACACAUAUAUCCCUUUCCUUUAGAAAGGGUCGUUCAAGAGUUGAUUGGUUAUCUGUAGUGAAAAUCAAACCCAAUGGUCAUUUCGAGGUUGUUUAGGAUAACAACGAUGAAUUAACAGUGGGAGAUUAUGUCUUUCAACUUAGUGAAUUAGUUGAUUCAUAUCGAGUUGCUCCAUCUAAUGACUUGGAAGAAAACUUAAAUUUUCGCAUCACCGAUAAUAUUUUUGUUAAUGUUGAUGUUGAUGUUAUGUUGAGAAAUUGAAUGAUGUUUUAAGCUUCAGAUGACAUACGCAAGUCAAUGAAGAUGAUGAUAACGAUGAAAUCAAUGUAGAAGAUUGCGAUGGAGAUGAGGAUAAGUCAAUUGACGAAGAAGAAGACAAUUUCGAUUAAUUUACACAACACAAAUGUGUAGUGCCAUAAACUAUAAUGUAAUUUUCAUGGACGAAAUUCACUUUAAUAUAAUGACAAUGAUGUUAAUUUAUUACCAAAUGACAAGGAAAUAUUUAUUUUAUUAUGGUGAUGUGAAAUGAUUUUAUUGUGUUGUGUGUGUAGUUGUGAAUUUAAGUACUUGCACGAUGAAGAUAUAGGAAAUACAAAUACAAUUUGGCAUCAUAUAAUGUUUUACAUCGAUGGAAUGUACAUUACACACAGGUAUACUGAUGGAAUAUUUUCGUCAAUAUUUUCCCGAGAGCUAUGAGACUAUUCACUUCUCAAUGCGUUGAUAAUUAUUGUUCACUACACAUGGGUAUACCGACACAACGUUUAUACCGACAUAGUGUGUCUGUCGGUAUUUUCCCGAGAGCUAUGAAACUGUUCGCUUCUCAAUGCGCUGAUAAUUAUUGUUCUUUUGACUGUUCACUUUUGUUUCCAAAUGAAAUCACCGACGGAAUGAAAAGUUGUUGAUAAUAUUUGGAGGGUUUUCUAAAAAAUUUUGUGCAAGUUGAAAAUUUUCAUUUGACCAUACCAACAGAAUCACCGAUGGAAAUAUUAAUAUAUAAUGUUACGUUUGUGAUUCCAAUGGCAAAAAGCAUCCAGAUACCAAGACCAUUAAAUUUUAAUUUGACUUUACAAACGACAUCACCGAUGAAAAUAUUAAAAAUAUUAAUAUUUAAUGUUUUGUCGGUAAUUUCGUUAGUAACACUAAAUUAUAAGACUAGAAUCAGAACAAACGAGACUUGAUCUUCUUUUCUCUCUCAUUCUUAGCCGAAAUCAAGCAUCAUCUUCUCUUCUUAUCCUCAGGUAUGUUGUCUUUUUUCAUUUUUCUUCUUAUUUUUUUUAGUUUAUUAACAAUCUCUCCAUUUUUUCUUUUUUUGAAGAGAUUGUUAAUAAACGAUAUUAUUGAAGCAGAUGUCACAAAACGAUAUUAUUGAAGCUUCAAUCAUGGUUGAAUGGUAGCUUUUAUCGAUAGUAUUGGGAAUGAGGGCAAAUAUAUAUCACAAUUAGCUGUGAAUAUUAAUGGGUGGAGCAAUGAGCUGUCUCUAUGUUUUUCAUUUGUUGAUUCUACUUUCCGUCCAAAAUAAGUCACAGACAGGCACAUUGAAGGAGUACAUGGAUCUACAAGAUUCCACAAUGAAAGUUUCACCAACCAAUAGACUGUUAUCGUGUUCUUUGGGUUGGAAAUUAUUUGGGUGGGUCUUGUUGCUAGCUUCUUACAGUUCAUUAUUUUGCCUGCUGAAGCUCUUGUUUCUUGAAUUUGAUAGCGAGUGUUUGAUAAGACUUCGGCAAAAUCUAUCAUCAAUUCUCAAAAAGAAAAAAAAAAAAAAACUUGUCUAUACCUUUUUCACAAUGAAUAGUUUUUUUUUAAUUUUAGUUAUUGUUCUUUUAAUUUUUUCAGCGAUAACUUAGAAUUUUAUUUCAUGGUAUUGAUUUUCAAUUUAAAGUCAGAAUAUUCUCAAACACCUGACUCAAGUAUUGAAGUUUUGUGAAUAGGGAUCUGUUCGCCAUUAGUUAGACCAGUGGCUAUUCAACAGGGAUGAAUUUAGUUUUCCGGACAUGUUUAGCUGCCGUUAGUUUAAUGGAAAAAGAGAGAUGUGGCUGAGACUUGGAAUUGGUAGGCAUUCGAGUAAGUAGAAGAAGCGGUAGGCAUAGUUGUGGCAAGGGCACAAAAUUUGCUGGCCAUUAAGCUCUCUAAUACCAGCUUCAACUACUAGAAAUAAUAGGGUUUUAUGCUAGGAGAGGUUAAUAUUUUCUAUUAGAGUUCUGAUAAAUCAAAAGAAUAUGGUCCAGAUAAAUCAAAAGAACUUGGCUAACGAAAAUAUUCCCUACCAUAAUGUUUUUUUAAAAGAACUUUAUAUCCAAUCAAUCUGUUGUAUGUGCAGGUAGAUUUUAUUUUUCCACACGAAUAUAAUGUCUCAAGGUAAGUGAAACCAAGAAUUAUGUGUGCUUUUCAAAGAAAAAUAAAUUCUAAUGUAUAAAACAGUGGCAACAUAAUUUGAAAGAAAUAAAGUUUGAUGAUGAAAUUCAUAUUACAAAAAUUUAUUGUUCCAAUUGACAAUUGAAAAGAAGUAGCUAAACACUAUGAGAAGAGAUCUCCCAAACUUAUUGUGCAAAAUGCCUUGGGCAGUGGAGGCCACUUCGCUGUAAGAUCCAAAUAAAUUUUUUCCAUUGUAGGCCGAGAUUGGGGAUUGGGAUGCAAGCAUGCAAGUGCAAUUUUCAUCAUGUGGACAACGCCCUCUGCUGCUCCUUUUUUAGGAAGUGAGAUGCGUGGGUCUAACACAUCCUUCAAUAGUGCAUGUUGAGCAAUCGGUGGCAUCGAUGAUGACGACGAAGAUCCUGGUGAUAAGAGUGCUGAAAUGAGGUCGCCUGGGUGCCUUCCUGUCAUCACCUCCAUUGUUACCACUCCGAAGCUAUAGACAUCACAUUUUUCAGUCACUUUCAUUGUGUAAGCUAGCUCUGCCAAAUUAAAAAAAUUGAUUAUGCUUAGUUUUAAUCAAAUAGUUGAAAGAAAAGACUUUAUAAUAAAAGCUAAAAAAGCACUAUUGUUUUCACUAUUACACAUUAGUAACUUGAUGUUGAAAUAAAGCUACGCACCUGGAGCAGUAUAUCCAAAAGUACCUGCAAAUGAGGUCCAAUUGGAUGAGUCAGGCAUCAACAGUCUAGCUGUGCCAAAGUCGGAGACGUGUGCUUCAUAUUCCAAGUCCAGAAGGAUAUUGUUGCUGGUAAUGUCUCGAUGAAUGAUUGGAGGAGAGCAAGAAUGGUGUAGAUAUGAUAAAGCUCCAACCACCCCUUUUACAACAUUUAGCCUUUUCAUCCAAUCGAACUCAAUUGCUUGUUCCUCACUGGUUAUAAUCUUUCUCAAGCUUCCUCUUUCAAUGAACUCAUAAACCAAAAAAGAAUGCUUUGCAUGUGAGCAAAAUCCAUACAUUUUCACAAUAUUUCGAUGUCGAAUAUUUGCCAACACGCAAACUUCCUUUUCAAAAGCUUUAAAAUCGGACAACUUUUCUGUUUGUGACCGGUGAAGUUUCUUCACAGCAACCACCUGUUCUGUUGGCAUCACGGCUUUAUAAACAGUUCCAUAUCCUCCUUCGCCAAUGCAGUAGUUGGAGUUGAAUUCCUCUGUAGCUUCAACGAUAUUCUCAUACAACUUCUUCCCAUCAUGGCCCAAUAUCGUGAAUAUGUUUCGAUCUUGUUCAUUUUCUGGCUCAUCUUUUCUCUUCCUAGCUCUUUGGCGGAGAAUGAAUAAAGCUCCAAUCACAACAAACACUAAAAGCAAGCUUCCUAAAAGAGGGAGUACAAUCAAAAUCACAAGUUUGUUGCUCUUUCUCUUAACAGUUUUGCUGCUUUUUGGAAGAUUGCAUGGCUUUAGACCACUGGCGUUGCCACAUAUACCCAUAUUAUCCCUUAAUGCCUCAAAUGAAGCGUUGUGGAAGGCUUUGAUAUCGGGAAUGGGGCCUUGUAGCUUAUUGGAUGAUAUAUCCACAGCUGUUAAGCUUAACAUGUCUUUGAAAGUGCUCGGAAUCCGUCCAGAAAGCAUGUUGUGAGAGACAUUCAGAGUUUCCAACUUUUGCAAUUGCCCAAGUUCCCGCGGUAUCUCUCGAGUCAGGAAAUUGCAGCUAAGAUCAAGAUCUUGAAGAGAAAGUAGAAAGCCUAUCUCACGUGGAAUGUUUUCUCUAAAUUUAUUACCGCUGAGGUUCAGCAAAAAUAAAUUUGAGCAUUCCCCAAGUUGUUUUGGAAUCAAUCCACUCAGAUUAUUAGAUGCUAAAUUAAGAAUUUGAAGAUUGGAAAGCAUCUUAAUAUCUAAGGGAAUGGUACCUGAAAGAUGGUUGUUGUUAAGAAUAAGCUUGUACAACAACUUCAACCCCCCUAAAUCUUUUGGGAUGGCUCCUUUUAACUGAUUUGAUGACAGAUCAAUCAAGCGUAAUUGAGUAGCCUUCCCAAGCUCUGGUGGUAUCUCACCAGAAACAUUAUUGUUUGAGAUUCUAAGGCUUGUCAUGUUACGACAACCUCCCCAUUUGGAAGAAAGCCCACCAUAAAAAUUAUUGUAACUCAAAUCAAUAUAAUCCAGAUGUGGAUAGACACCAAAAACCUCUGAAACAUUUCCUGUUAAUUGAUUCGAUUCAAGUCUUACUCGGUGUAAACGAGUACAGUUUUUCAAACUUUUCGGGAUUGAACCUGAGAAGUUGUUGUAGCAAGCAGUAAAGUUUUCCAAUACUCCUCCAUGGCAUAACUCUAGUGGCAAAUGACCCGUGAGUUCAUUGAAACCAAUAUCCAAAGCAAUCAAUUGGGUGAGAUUUUUCAUCUCUACGGGCAAUGGGCCGUGAAGUUUGUUUAUACUUAGAUCAAGUCAAGUCCACAAGGGAUCUAAGUUGUCCUAUUUCUGAAGGAACACGUCCAGAUAAAUUAUUUUGACUUAGAAGAAGUUCAGUGAGCAUUGUCAUGUUCCCAAUUGAAUUAGGGAUUCCACCGGUUAAAACAUUACUUUGCAGGGUAAGUUCACUAAGAAACUCUAGCAAUCCAAUUUCAUGAGGAAUAGAACCAGAAAGUUUGUUACAACAAAGAUAGAGUUUGGAUAGAUUUCUCAAGUUUCCAAUGGAGGAGGGGAUGAAUCCAGUGAGAUUAUUUUGAUCUAGUGCUAAAACAAUGAGCGUGGUCAUGUUUCCAAUAGAAGAAGGGACUGGACCAGAGAGUUGGUUAAGGGAAAGCUCAAGGGAAUAUAAGUUUCUCAAGUUUCCAAUGGAAUAAGGGAUUUUACCGGUUAAAAGAUUACUGGACAAGCUAAGUUCAUUAAGAGACUCUAACAACCCAAUUUCUUGAGGAAUGGGACCGGAGAGUUUAUUGCCCCAAAGAUAGAGUAUGAAUAGGUUUCUCAAGUUUCCAAUAGAGGAUGGUAUCAAGCCAGUGAGAUUAUUUUGAUAUAGUGAUACAUCAAUGAGCAUGGUCAUAUUCCCAAUAGAAGAAGGGAUGGGACCAGAGAGUUGGUUGUCAAGAAGGUGAAGGUAAGAUAAGUUUCUCAAGUUUCCAAUGGAAUAAGGGAUUCUACCGGUUAAAACAUUACUUGAUAAGUCAAGUUGAUUGAGAGACUCUAGCAAUCCAAUUUCCUGAGGAAUGGAACCGGAGAGUUUGUUACCCCAAAAAUAGAGUAUGGAUAGAUUUGUCAAGUUUCCAACUGAGAAUGGGAUCAAACCAGUGAGAUUAUUUUCAGCUAAUGAAAUAGCGAAAAGAGACGUCAACUUUCCAAUUUCAUGUGGGAUAGUUCCAGAAAGAGAAUUGUUCUGAAGGUCAAGAACAAAAAGAUUAAGGAAGGAGGAGAAGUUGAAAUCAUAAAGCGUACCUCUCAAGCCAAAGUCUGCAAGGCUCAAAUUGGUGACGCUUCCAGAAUUGUCACAAGUGAUUCCAAUCCAGUUAAUGCAUGGGCUAAUGCCGAACCAGGAAGAAAGGAGAGAUUGACUUUGGUUGUCAAGACUGGCUUUCCAUUCGAGAAGAGCCUCAGCUUCUGUAUUAUUACCAAACAGUGAAGUUGUGGAGGGAGUGUGUUCAGCUAAAGUAAAGUAAGAAGAAAAGUUGAAUAUGUGAAGGAGCAAAAACAGGAUGUGGAGAAAGAACGAGAAGAAUGGUUUGUUUAGUAAGGACGUCGUCAUGGUGUGUUUUCAAGAGAUAUAGGAUAUGGUUUGCUAUGGUAGAUUAGGCUCUUCCAUGGAGAGGUAUUUAUAGGAAGGAAAACAUGAUUUGAAUUUUUUUAUAUAAAAAAUAUUCAUUGAAUAUUACAUCUCUUCUCUAAUUAAGUUGAAAUUAACUAGACUAUGAUUGCUCUCGUGCUUGACACGGUUGACUAAUUUCUGAUAAAAUUCCAAUUGAACUUUCUUUCCCCUUUUCCAUAUCAUAGUUUGCGAACUGGAAAGUCCUACGUUCACAUGCUCACUGCCUUGUGUAUACUAUGAAGGGAUAAAGGUCUCUAGAAUGACAAGUAGACAGAAAAAUGAAAUAGAUAAACUAUUUCCAACAGGAGAUGAGAUUGACAGAGAACGUUAUCGCUAUGAAAGUACUGAGGGAUCAUAGAGAAUAUAGCUUCUUUAUGAUCAAUUGACUAUGAAAGUAAAUAAAGGGCAAUAAAAAGCAAAGAGUUUUAUGAAAGAAACUUUAAGCUCGAAAGUUUUUUUUUAACAAUUUGAUCACCACACUAAAUUCAAUGGGAGAUAUUGUAAUUGACGUGGGACACACUUGUGGGUGUAUCGCUUUGUAAUUUCCUGUUCAUCAAUAAUUUCUUCUCCCUUGCCAUCUUUUCCACUGGAAAGAUAAUGGAAAAGUGUAUGUGAGAGACUCACCAAAUUUCCAUAAUGGAGGGCCAACUUUGACGAAGAGACUGAGAAGACUAUGGAUCAGUACCCGUAACAACCACGGGAACAAGUCAAACAAGUAUGGUCCUUCAAUGAGCCUGGUCAAGUUCCUAUCAAUCCAUUUUUCUGAAGUUCUGUUGGAUCUUAGACAGACUUAGAUUGUUGUUAAGAGUAAUUCAAUCUGAUUUUUUUCCAGAUUUUCUUCUAUUUUUUGACAGCACUAGAAAGCACUAAUUUAAUGUUUUUUCAUACCAAAUGCAAUUUUAAAACUCACCUAAACAUAGUUUUGAACAUAAAAACAGCAGGCGUAAAAAUGACUACCCUUCAUUGACAAAGAUUCUUUCCAAUAAAGAAAAAUUAAUAGGCUCCGAAGGGAGAGAAAUAGCAUUGAAAAGGUACUAAAAGACGCUACUAAACAAAAUUUGGGUGCGCCAGAAAAUAGUUAUAAAAGAGAGAGCAUGAUCAUGGCUCUUCCCAGAAUGUAAGGUUACCAAGAAAACAGUCACAAAAUGGCUUAAACAGAACAUCUCUUUUCCUAUGAUCAACGCCUAAUAUUUCAGACAAGUGGAUUGAAUAACUUAAGAGCUUUAAAUAGGUUGAGAGUUUUGGUAAACAAUUCUCAAUGGAUUAUUAUCUGAAAUUAUCUCAGACAUUAUCUCAUCCCUCAACUUCCUACGUUCCCUCUAUUAGAGAAGUCUCCCGAUUCCUUAUCAUGCAUUGUUGUAACAGGUUCAGUUUGUUUAAAUUUUGAAUUUGUAUUUUAAGCUGCACACUUAUCCUCAGGGAUAAGCUUCUAGUCUGUUACAAUCCCUUGUAUUUAUAUCAGUUAAUCUAAUGAGAAGAAGUGUGGCAUAUUUCCUCUUCUCUGUUUCUCUGCUCCUCUCAUUGCUUUUACCCUCAAGACUCUUGCAUUCUCCUUUCUUUUCUUUCUCUCUUUCUUCUAACCUUGCUUGCUUCUUUUUCUUCAGCUUUCCUGCAUGUUUUCUCUCCUCUACUAUCAUGAUAUUUUGCCCCACGCUCACCCCUUUGCUCUCCAUCAGAUGAACUAUCCUCAGAGGAACUAAUCCUAAAAACAUCCUCCAGAACCAGCUAUGCUCAAGAAACAGAUGCUAACAUCUUGCAAGCAAAAAUUACAACCCUGAACAACUAGAUUUCCCAGAAAUCCAGCCAACAUUUACUAACCAAAAGCUAGGAAAAUGAUUACAUGAGAGUAAAAAAUGAAAUUUACUAAAUCAAGAUUAAUGGGCAGUGAUUAGUACCUAAUCAAGAAGAUUAAUGAAUAAUUAUCCAUAAUCAAAUGCUUUCACAUACAAAAAUUUGUUCCAAUUUGACCAAGAAAAUAAAUAAAAACUCAAAUUCAAUCUUAAUCAUAAUGUCAAAAAUUAAAUAAUAAAAACUGGAUUAAAAAUAAUUUCAUAAUUAUUCAACAGGCUCCAUGAAUCCAACCCAACUCAGAAAAACUAUAAAGAGGAGACUCUCUACAUUACAAAGCAAACACUGCAGCAACAACUAUACCAACUGAUCCCACCACAUUAUUAUGCAUAAACCAAACUGCACUGGAUAUAUCCACAGGAGCCACAGGACUCUCAACAUUAGCCGCAGGAACCGCCUUUGCAGGUUUUUCUGGUGCAGGUGCCACUGGUGCUGGAGCUGGAGCAUUAGAAGCAAAAAUUUCCUUAGGGAGGAGAACCUUUUCAAUCUUAUAAAUGGCAAGCUGGUUGUCUGUGUAUACGGUGCCAGAUAAACUUGUAUUGGUAAGUCCUGUGGUUAUGUUCACUGAGUUUGGAUAACUUGUCACAUUAAGUGGUAACCUACUGCCUGUUCCAGCCCAUGUACCUAGAGGGUUACUUACAGUCUGAAACUGGGAAGUAGAGAGGAAUGUUGGAAUUACGUGGAACUUCACUAACUCAGACUUGUCUCCAUCACUUAGAGUGUUGAGAGUUCCUGAUUUGAGUUCCGAAAAUGCGCUAUCCGUUGGUGCAAAGAUGGUUAAACCGGUGCUUGAAUCAUUUAGCGCGGAGAACAAGUGGUUUUCCUCUUGGAUGGAUCUCAAAAGGCGGAUAAAGAUCGUGAAGUGGCCAGCCUUCUCAAGGAUUUUGGUUACGUUGGUGAUGCCAUGCGGUGCAGCUGCCUGUGUUGGGGUUGCUGCUGGAGGUGGUGCCACAACCACUGCUGGUGCCUGCGCUGGGGCUGCAGCUGGUGACAGGGCAAAGGUAUAGGUGCAUUGGAGGAAAAGAAGGAAAUAAAAAAUGAGAUUGACUGUUGCUUCAUGUUUAUGUCUUUGGGCUAUAUGCUAGAAAUGAUACAAAAAUGUUAAUGUAAAUUGAGCUUGAUCUUAGUUAGAAAAGUGUUUGAUGUGUAAAGAAGGGACAGAGUCAGGUUUUAUAGUUGUUGGCAGAGGAUCAAGCUAGGUGCAAUGUACAAUUUUAGUUAUACAAUUAGGUAGCUAGUAUCUUAUCUUUUUCCGAAAGGUGGAGGGUAUCAAUGGAGAGGCAAGUUCAACAAUGCUGCAACAACUAAUUUUCUUGGAAAUGCAGGGGGGAAAAAUAGAUUAUAAAAAGUGGAUUUCAAGUGGGUGUGACAGCAAAUGAAGAUAUCUAUGAUUGUCAAAAUUAUAAUUCUGAAUCAUCACUGGCAGAACAUUUGAGCAUAUACUUCUGAACAUCAAAACAAAUCAUCUGUAAUGGCAGAGGAGUUUGACAUGAAAUCUCAACUGAAUCAUCUAGCUCCUUGAGCUUAAAAGAGUCACAUCCUUGACUCCAUGACAGAUUUCGAUAGACUAACUUUCCAAAUUCACACAUCCAGAAAUCAAAUCUCACCCAUACCAACACUUCACAUAACAUGAUCAAGAUACACUUACCUUAUUAUGUACUUUAUUUGAUGUUUGUGGCAAGCCUUCUUCCAAGGUUUAUGCAAUCUUCGAGUAAGCUGACUUUUUAGGGAAACAAAGAGAGUCCUAAGAUAUCGACGCAGACAUAAACAACAAAAGAAAGACAGCAACUGCAUAGGAUCACCACGCAAAUUUCAAAUUUUGUUACCUUUCUAAACUAGAAAACCUGAAAAUAAAAAAAAAUGCAAUAAAAAUAUCAAAAAAACUAGAAAAUUACAAAUUAAAAAGGAAAAAUUACAAAUCUAACCUGAAUAGCACUUUUUGGGUCUAGAUGUCUUCCAGAUCUGCUGACCAUUACAUAUAUAGGCCUAUAUAGCAAAAUUUGAGCAUGAUUCAGCUGUGAAAUUGAAAGCUGUAAUUAUGGAUCUUUUUGUCAAGUCAAUCACUCUGCCCAACCCAAAUAUUGUUUUGGGCUUUGUUCUUUACCAUCAGUCCAUAGACAUUCCUUCAAUACUAUCCAUGUGGCCCAGUUGUGGUAGACCCAACUGAUCAGAACCACCAGCUUUAAAUCUGUGAGGGGAAUGACUGAUUUUGGAGUGUUCGUUUGAAGCUACUGGCUAUAGAAAAUUGACUACUCAGAUAGUGAUUGGGCUGUUUCAGUCGAUGAUAUGAAGAGCACAACAGUUUGUGUUCGAUAUCGGUUCAGGUGCACUCUCUUCGGUGACCAAGAAGCAAGAACCGUGGCACAAUCCACUGGAGAAGCAGAGUGCAUAACUUCAGCAGCAACUUUGAAUCCAGCCAUAUGGUUAAGGAAAAUUCUCCAAGAUAUGGGGCAGCAACAGCAUGUAGCAACUAGAAUUCAAGUUGAUAACAAGUCGGCCAUUACAAUUGCAAUAGCAAAAUAUUCAGUUAGUCAAGGAAAAACCAAGCAUAUCAAAAGGAAGUUCCAGAGCUCAUGAAGUAGAGAAAGCUAAUGCGGUGACCUUUAGCUGUUGUUACGCAGAAAAGCAACUUGCAGAUAUAUUGCAGCGAGAGCUUCCACAAAUAUACAUCCUUACCUUCACUGCAAGCAUCUGCAUGUAAUAACAAACUUUUAUGAAAAGUUGUAAUUAGGAAGAAUAGAAGAAGCCUAUCCAGAAAAUACAAGUCGCGAAAGACACUAACAUGAAGCAAGUUGAAACUAGAAUUAUUAUCCAACACUUGCACAAGGAACCAUCUGCAUAUACUAAUAAGACGAGCUUACCAGUUAUAUUUGUUUCCUGAGUCCUGACAGGUAAUAUAGCAAGGAAAUUCUUUUUGCACCAGAAGUUUGCCAGCCCAAAGUAGGAGAUAAUAUAGCAGUCUAGUAAAGGUUCUGUUUCAGAAGCCUUGUUUUUUGACAGUUAGCAUUUUCUUCUCUUUUGAAUAAUUGAAUUGUCAAUUGUCUUCUAACCUUAUAGCUUAAAGAAAACUACAUUUCGGUUCGAAACAUACUUGUAUAAAUUAAUGUGUAGCUCUAACUUAUCACUAGCUUCAAAACGUCAAUACUGCAAGAUGAAGGAAAAACACAGAUAGGUUGCAUUAAUCCUGCUGUGCAGCACACUAAGGCGCUGCGAAUGAGCAAGUGACCUCACACACCAGCCCCCAAUGCUCUUUUAUGUCCAGGAAUGGCAUGUUUGCUUAAAUCAAACCCGAUAAGUCCGUGAAAUGCUACCUACCUACCUUAAAUGGAAUCAUCUCUUGCAACCCAAGAUCUGGUCAAGUAACCCCACGUGAAGCAGUGCUGACAGUAAAGGAACUAAGCUUUAGCCCCUUUAGCUUUAAAGAACCAAACUCUUACUUUCUUCAUUCCCUACAAAUUUCAACAGAUAAGCUCUCAAAAGACGUACCCAGAAAUCAUCUACAAAGUCAUCCUAUUGGAGAAGAAAGCAAAGGAAACAAUGACCUCAGAGACUGGAGCCUCAUGGAGGCAAUGGUCUUAUUUAACCAAAAGCUAGGGAAUAAGCACAUGGCGCCAAGGUGAUAGGAAAUGAAAUGAAAAAACAAGAUUGACUACUUAUAUGUGUGUGUGUGUGUGUGUGUGUGUGUUCCAAUUUGACCAAGAAAUUAAUCAACAGCUCAGAAUUCAACCUUAGUCACAAGCUCAAAUCAUACAAACUGGAUUCAAGGUAAAAUCAGAAUUAUUCAACACACAAUCAGCCGGCGCAGCAAAUUAAAUAAAGCACCAAACCGGACACAACCCCUACAUAUAUCAUAUCAAGAUUCGAAAUCCUUCUACAUUACAGGGAAAACAUUGCAGAAGCAAGUAACCCAACUGAUCCCACCAAAAGAUUAUGAGUAAAGAUAAGUGAACUAGAUAUAUCCACAGAAGCUGCAGGACUCUCUACAGUUGCUGCAGGAACUGCCUUCGUUGGCUUCUCUGGUGCAGCUGCCACUGGUGCUGGAGCUGGAGCAUUAGAAGCAAAAAUGUACUUAGGGAGGAGCACCUUUUCAAUCUUAUAAAUGGCUAGCUGGUUGUCUGUGUAUACGGUGCCAGAUAAACUUGUAUUGGUAAGUCCUGUGGUUAUGUUCACCGAGUUUGGAUAACUUGUCACGUUAAGUGGUAACCUACUACCUGUUCCGGCCCAUGUUCCGAGAGGAUUGCUUACGGUCUGGAACUGGGAAGUAGAUAGGAAUGUUGGAACUACGUGAAACUUCACUAACUCGGACUUGUCUCCAUCACUUAGCGUGUUGAGAGUUCCUGAUUUGAGUUCCGAAAAUGCGCUAUCCGUUGGUGCAAAGAUGGUUAAACCAGUGCUUGAGUCAUUUAGCGCGGAGAAUAAGUGGUUUUCCUCUUGGGUGGAUCUCAAAAGGCGGAUAAAGAUCGUGAAGUGUCCAGCCUUCUCAAGGAUUUUGGUGACGUUGGUGAUGCCAUGCGGUGCAGCUGCCUGUGUUGGGGUUGCAGCUGGAGGUGAUGCAACCACUGCUGGCGCCUGAGCCGGGGCUGCAGCUGGUGACUGGGCAAAGGUAUUGGUACAAUGGAGGAAAAGAAGAAAAAUUGAAAAUGAAGAGAGUAAGUACUGUGGCUUCAUCUUUAUGUUGUUAAGAUAAAAUGCUAGAAACAAUGCAAAAAUGCUAAUGUAAACUGAGCUUGAUUUUUGUUAGAAGUGCUCGAUGUGUAUAGAGGGGACAGUUUGAGGUUAUAUAGUUGUGGGCAGAGAGGAUCAAGUUAGGUGCAAUAUACAAUUUUAGUUACACAACUAGGUUGCAAGUACCUUAUCUUACUCCAAAAGGUGGUGGGUCAUCAAUGGAGAUGGAAAAUUGACAAUGCUGCAGCAGCUACUUUGCAUGGAAAGUAGGAGGAAAAAGAAACAAGAAUCUCAGAAGUAGAUUUCAAGUGGGUGUGACAGCAAAUGAAGAUGUGGAGUUCCCACUCAUCAUUGGCAGAACAUUUGAGCAUACUUCCACACAUUAUAACAAAAUCAUUUUUAAUUGAUUAGUCGAGGUGUGCAAGCUGGUCCGGACAUCCAUGUUAAAUUAAAAAAAAAAUCAUCUUUAAUGAUAGAAGAUUUGGACAAGGAAUCUCAGCUGACCCCAUCUUUGUAUCCAAAACAGCUAAAGACUUAGCUCCUUGAGCUAAAAAGAAAGAAGCUUUGGAUGUGUUGAGUAACAUUAUAAAACUUUUUUUUCAGUUUUAUUUUCCUUUUCUAGUUUUAGUUUUUCAAUAAAAAAUCAGAAAACGUGUUUUAUUUGUUACAAAAUCAUGAAGAUAAAUUUUUCCAUCUAAAAAAACACUUUAAGAUUAUAACUACUUUUUUAUAAAAAUAUAAACCAUAAUUUAUAAUAAGCAUCUUAACAUUUUGUAUUCGUGAUAAUUUAAUGAUGAAAUUAUAAUUUUAUUUCUUUUAAAAAAACUAUCAUGUAAAAACUAUAUUGCUAACCUUUAAAAAAUAUUUAUAUUAAAUUUAUAAUAAAAGAUAAAUUUAUGAUACUAACUAAAUAUAAAAAAAUAAGUUUUUACAUUGCUUAAAAUGGCUUGGAUAUAAAAUAAAAAAAUAUUAUUCAUAUUUGUUUCAUUUGAAAAAUAAUGAAAAACUUAUAUCAGAAAAAUACAGAGAAUUUUUAAAAUAUGUUUUUCAAUCUCAAUACAAAUUUAAAAAACUAAAAAAUUUAGUUUUCCAUAGGAAGUUACAGUUUUCAUUUUUCUUACUCCAAUUUUUUUAUUAAAAAAAUAUUAUUUUGUUUCUAAACAAUUUUUUACAUCCUUUUAAUCCUCAAGAGAAAUUGAUAGGCUAACUUUCCAAAUUUAGAAACAUAAAUUAGAUCUCACACCAGGCCAUCACUUAACAUAAUCAAGAAACACUUUCUAACGUACGUGAGCCAAGUACAGGCCAUGUUGCUGCUUACAAUGAUUUUUUCCUUAUGCAAACACAAGCCUAGAAAUUUUAUAUGACCAUUUUGAAGUAAAACGAAAGAAGAUGCCUGCUCUCUCUCACACUUUUUUCCGCUAAUAAUUAUCAACACGAACAGUUUUGAAACUAGAGAAGAAACCUGAGUCUGAUUUGGGCUUGAACUCGAGAAAGAUUCGUAUAGCAAAGAAAUUACUUAGCAAGAUUGAGGAGGAAAAGAGAAUCAAAUUAAUCCCACAAAAUAGUAUAGCAAGACGCUUGGCAUGAGCAGGUGACCUAAGAACUGGUCUGCAAUGCUUAAUAUAGUUUUCUUGUCCAAGACUGAAAUAUUUGCUCCAAUGAAACCUGACAAGUCCUUGAAGUUGGAAAUAAUACCUCCUCACCUUAAAUUGAAUAAUCUCUAGUGAGUCAAGAUUUGGAGAAGUAAUAUCAGCAGGCAAUGCAUUCUUGUGAGUGAAGGAAAUUAGAUUUAGCACUCGUUAAGCUUUAACGAACAAUAUUUUAUGGUUUUCAUUCCCUACAACCUUCAAGAGAUAUGAUCUCCAAAUUCACAUCCAGAAAUCAAGUCACCCUCAAAGUCAUCUGGUAGAAGGCAAUGUUCAACGAACACUGACCUCGGACUUAAGCCCCAAGAAGGCAUUGCUCAUGCUAUAUUUUAUACCAAAAAUAACAGUUAAGCCUCAAAAAUUUAACACGUCCAAUUCUGAGCAUAAAGAAAGACAGGUCGCCCAGGAACCGGAGAGAAAUCGAAGUGAAUUUCUUGUACAUUAAUGUACUUAAUGGCAUUAGCAAUCCACUCGAGAUGUUCGAAGAUGGAGAUAAAAUUUGCUAGGAGAAGAGGAAGGUGAGCGAUGGAGGAGGGUUCGGAAGGUGCAGCAAGAGAAGCAGGAGUGGUCAUCUUAGCAUUAAUAGAGACUUAUAGACAGGAAUUCGGGUUCACCAGUAGCUAGUUAGAAAAGAUCAAGCAUGGUCAUGUCUCUAAACAAAAUGUAAAGAUACCAAAAUCACACCUAAUAAUUUCGAAAGUGGAAGGCUUAAGUGUUGGGGAUUCCGGCACCCCCAUGCGCGGACCGGGGUGUACUGAUAGUUGCUCAACGGAGGGAAAGCACACUGACACAAUAUUUUACGUGGUUCGGCAAAACCGCCUACAUCCACGGGAGAGUCAAUAUUAUUAGAGAUAGAUAGAGAAAGGGUUACAACACACAUGAAGGAGGAGGCUCACUUCACUCAAACUCAACUCCCAUUGCUCUCACACACUGCUGUACAAGGCAGCAGGGCUGCUGCCCUUGGCAGCUACUCCCUCUUUCUCUCCUCACGUAUCUCUCUCUUGUUUUCUACAACCCUCUCAUUUGCUCUCACAAAAUCAUGCCUCUUUUAUAGGCAUCCAAGACAUCUCUUCAACAAUGGCUGCACAUGGGUUGAUACAUUUGUCAAUGGUGGGUGCAACUACCAUUGACAAAUGGUAAUCCUACUUCUUAGGGUAGGUUGCUCAUUUAUUGCCCAUUAAUGGCAAAUCCUAACAAUCACCCCCUUUGACAUUUAUAUGGGCAAUUGUCCUCUUGCUUCUUCAGCACAAGCUUGCAUCCUGCAGCUCUUCCAAGCUUCCAUUCUGAGAGCGUCUGUGGCCAAGUUUACAGGUACUCGCCAAACCUUUCAAUCACCAGAGUUACCAAAGCACACCUUUUCUCACACAAAAGGAUCACUACAACCAGAUGGUCUGUCACUUCACAUCUGAAGAGUGUUAACGCUUGUCUCUGGGACACACUGCAUUCCCCUUCGAGCAUAUCAACCAUGCUCGGUCCGGAAUGAUUCAUCAAGCCUUAUACCAAGGCUUACAACACCCCCUCAAACGGAAAUUUCCUUUUCCAAGUGCGACAGUCAUUAUCUGAGUAUCUCAAUAUGAUCACGAGCUCACCACUCUUCCAAGAGUCUACUCAUCCAGGAGUUGCACCUGCCCUCUGUUCCACUCUAGGAACCACGCCUUACUUCUCCGUGAGUCUCUCGCUCUUAGUCUCAAGAGUCCAGGUAGCUCUCCACCUUCACCUAUGGGGGCAGCCCAUUAAAGGUUGAUCCAUAUAUGUCUUGAUACUGAGUAUUACAAUGCCUUUACUGAGCUCACCACCUUGACAAGAGUCAACUUGUUCCGGGAACCUGCGCAUGCCCUCUGCUCCUUCAUAGCAGCCGCGUCUUAGUGCUCCACAAGUCACACACUUAUUGUCCAAGGCAAAUGUCUUCUAGCUCAUUGAUCUUUAGCAUGGGGGCAAUAUCCAUGAAAGUCAAUCCUGCAUUUGUCUUCAUACUCAUCAUAGCCACUUCAUUGGCUAUCCAUACACCUGUCCACUUGUAUCUAGCCAUCACAUUGGCUUUGGGGUUGUUCUGAACUGGGCUCAUAUCGUGGCCCACACACCUUCUCCUUAGGUGUCUCCGCUCGUCGUCAUACGGCGGUCUGAAAUGGGGCUCCUAUCAUGGCCCUCACACCUUCUCUAAGGCGUCUUCGCCCGUUGUCAUGGGGCGGUCUGAUUCGGGGCUCCUAUCAUGGCCCACACACCUUCUCUCUAAGGUGUCUUCGCCCGUUGUUAUGGGUGGUCUGAUCCAGGCUCCUAUCAUGGCCCACACACACCUUCCAUCUAAGGUGUCUUCACCUUUCAUAGGUGGCCGCAUCUUCCUUCAGUUGAGAUGCUUCAAAGUGGCUCCAAAAGUCUCUACCACCAUGUGCACUUAUGGGAGAGAUUACUGCCACUGACUACAUAGAAAGAGAUAGUUGCGGUAUACUCCUCGCAAUCCUCCACCUCGAUUUCUAUGUUUGGAGCUUCUGUGCCUUUCUGCUUGACAGCUCCACCUACACCAACUCUCUUUGGUGUCUUCGCCUUUCAUCAUAGGCGGUUGCCUUGUAUCACAGGCAUUUGCACCCCCUCAAUUAGGUGCUUCUACAACAACUCUCUUUCCAUCCUUGCAUGCAUUGGAAAGGUCUUCGCCUGUUGUCUUCAUUAAGAGCAUAAGAGACUUCCUGUUGUACAAACUUUAACAGUAUCUGCUCUGAGCUUCAUCUGGGAACACUUCUUCUCCUUGCACCUGUUGUCUCAUUACAGUACCUCAUUGGAUCUUACGGGUACUCAUGCACAAUCUCCGUGUGCCCUCGUGCAAUUUCUGUUCUCCAGAUUUUUCCCCUAUUCCUUGUUUAUGUUUGACAGCAGCUCAUCCUGUCAUAACACCUAUCCAAGUCAAAAUAGGGUGCCAAUCUUUAUCCCCUUGCUGUAUUUCUUUUCCAUUAUCAGGGUCUUCAUCAAUUCUCCCCUCGAGAAAUCACAGUCACCGAAUCUAACUUCUUUGGAGAAAUCACCACUCCAUCAGAUCCUUGAACAUACGGAACCCAACUGUUCCUUUGUACCGACAUCCUGCUAGUCUUCAACUGUUUCAUUAUAAACUGCUAUAUAUACGAAAAUAGUACCUUAUGGAUAAUCCUUCCACUAAGCAAGUUCCCAGGAAAGAUUGGAGGGGUCACACUGGUCCCGCUUAAAACCCAACCUCCUAGACAGAACUUCUUAGGCCAUAUCUAUCCAUCGUACUGUCUUUCCGUAUAUACAACCAUUUGCUAGCUUUGUUGCGGCUUUCCUUUACAAGUGAUCUGGAAUAUACUGGUUUAAUACAUGAUUUCUCAACAUCUGGCGAGACUACCAGUUCUUAGAUUCGUCAAGAUUGGUCUUCAUCAGUUUUCACUCUACACCUCUAAUUGUCCACUUGAUCGGGUGUCAAGAGUGUCCCAAUUUUGCCUUCCUUCAAGGCAGCUAAAAUUCUACCCACUUAGCAGUUCAGCACAUGUAAUUGGGUAAACAUGUGCACUUACUCCUUCUUCAUCUCCAUCGACCACCAUGAUGACCUUCAGAUGCCUCCUGAUCGGGCAAUCUCUUUUGUUAAUUCACAACCGCCAUUUUUGGUCUCAAAUCUCAAUGAUCGGACCGUACCAUUGCAUCCGGAACGAUCAAAUUAGCUAAAAACAAGUAUGAAAUCGUCCAAAUCGCACUUCAGACGGCUAAAAUUUGAUCAAACAAAAUUCUGGCCUGAUCAACAGCUCAGAUUCAAUCUCAGAUCCGGUUGCACGUAGGAUCAGCUACACUGGAUCUUGUCCCUCGGCUCGCGGCUCGGCUCGGCUCGAAUUAGGCUCGGCGCACUCGGCGCGACUUGGCUCGGAUCGCGGCUGGGUGACGUGGCAUGUGGGUCCCAAUUUUGCUGACGUGUCUGAUGACUAGACGAUGACGUGGCAGAUGACGUGGCGAUGACAUGGCAUGCUGCCUGGACGAUGACGUGUCUACUGACUGGGCGCUGACAUGCAUGCUGGCUGUGUAUACUGGCGUCAGGAUUACGUCAUGAUGAUGUCAUCCUUAUCCGGGUCUAGUACGUGGGUCGGGUCGUCUGGUAUUCGGGUCGGCUCAUCCGGGUGAAGAAGACGCGUGUGACGCGUGGCGCGCGUCUGUGCGCGUGGGCAGUCUCCUCGCCGGCGCGUGACGGCGCGUGACGGCGCGUGCGGAGGCUUCCGACGUCCGAUUUCGACGCGGUUUUCAACAGUGGCUUCGUCUCUUCCUGCUCUACACGGUGGUAUGGUCAAAACACAAUUUUGACAACUUUCAUUUUUGAGCAAAAUAAAACACCCCUUUAAACCAUGUGCUCUGAUACCAAUUGUUGGGGAUUCCGGCACCCCCAUGCGCGGACCGGGGUAUACUGAUAGUUGCUCAACGGAGGGAAAGCACACUGACACAAUAUUUUACGUGGUUCGGCAAAACCGCCUACAUCCACGGGAGAGUCAAUAUUAUUAGAGAUAGAUAGAGAAAGGGUUACAACACACAUGAAGGAGGAGGCUCACUUCACUCAAACUCAACUCCCAUUGCUCUCACACACUGCUGUACAAGGCAGCAGGGCUGCUGCCCUUGGCAGCUACUCCCUCUUUCUCUCCUCACGUAUCUCUCUCUUGUUUUUUACAACCCUCUCAUUUGCUCUCACAAAAUCAUGCCUCUUUUAUAGGCAUCCAAGACAUCUCUUCAACAAUGGCUGCACAUGGGUUGAUACAUUUGUCAAUGGUGGGUGCAACUACCAUUGACAAAUGGUAAUCCUACUUCUUAGGGUAGGUUGCUCAUUUAUUGCCCAUUAAUGGCAAAUCCUAACAUUAAGAGCAUCAAGGUUGAUCUUCUAAGAAAUCAAUUUUAAGUGAAUUAUAAUGUAGAAACUGCAAGUUCUCAAACAAGUGUAGCAUGAAAUACUAGGGGGAUUUUUUAGAUAUGGAAAAUUUUUCCAGCAAGUAUGAAUGUAUGCUUAAUAGAGAAAUCAAAGAUAAUCAUUGUUCAAGGGUAGGAAUUGAUGCUUCCUCCAAUGCUCAUAAUCAAAGAAUUCUUGAUCCGCCAAUCAAACCACCAUUAUCUAGCCAAAAGCUAGGAAAUGAUAGAUGACACCAGGAUGAUAGUGAAAAAAAAAUGAAAUUUGAUGAAUAAUCAAGUUAAUUAGAUAGAAUCUCAAAACUCAACUCAAUCAUGAACUCAAAUCAUACAAACUGGAUUCAAGGUAAAAGCAGAAUUAUUCAACACACAAUCGGCCGGCGCAGUUAAAUAAAGCACCAAACCGGACACAACCCCUACGUACAUAUAUCAUAUCAAGAUUGAAAUCCUUCUACAUUACAGAGAAAACAUUGCAGAAGCAAGUAAACCAAAUGAUCCCACCAGAAUAUUAUUAGUAAAGAUAAGUGCACUAGAUAUAUCCACAGAAGCUGCAGGACUCUCUACAGUUACUGCAGGAACUGCCUUUGAUGGCUUUUCUGGUGCAGGUGCCACUGGUGCUGGAGCUGGAGCAUUAGAAGUAAAAAUGUCCUUAGGGAGGAGUACCUUUUCAAUCUUAUAAAUGGCUAGCUGGUUGUCUGUGUAUACGGUUCCAGAUAAACUUGUAUUGGUAAGUCCUGUGGUUAUGUUCACCGAGUUUGGAUAACUUGUGACAUUAAGCGGUAACCUACUACCUGUUCCGGCCCAUGUUCCGAGAGGAUUGCUUACGGUCUGGAACUGGGAAGUAGAUAGGAAUGUUGGAACUACGUGAAACUUCACUAACUCAGACUUGUCUCCAUCCCUUAGAGUGUUGAGAGUUCCUGAUUUGAGUUCCGAAAAUGCGCUAUCCGUUGGUGCAAAGAUGGUUAAACCAGUGCUUGAAUCAUUUAGUGCGGAGAACAAGUGGCUUUCCUCUUGAGUGGAUCUCAAAAGACGGAUAAAGAUCGUGAAGUGGCCAGCCUUCUCGAGGAUUUUCGUGACGUUGGUGAUGCCAUGCGGUGCAGCUGCCUGAGUUGGGGUUGCAGCUGGAGGUGGUGCUACGACUACUGCCGGUGCCUGCGCUGGGGCUGCAGCUGGUAUCUGGGCAAAGGUACUGGCACAAUGGAGGAAUAAAAGGAAUAUUGAAAAUGAGGAGAUUAACUGCUGCUUCAUCUUUAUGUUUUUGGGAUUAAUUAUAAUGCU